rnacentral:rRNA from 1 species
GACGAACGCUGGCGGCGUGCUUAACACAUGCAAGUCGAACGGAAAGGCCCUGCUUUUGUGGGGUGCUCGAGUGGCGAACGGGUGAGUAACACGUGAGUAUCCUGCCCUUGACUUUGGGAUAAAUUCAGGAAACUGGGGCUAAUACCGGAUAGGAGCUCCUGCUGCAUGGUGGGGGUUGGAAAGUUUCGGCGGUUGGGGAUGGACUCGCGGCUUAUCAGCUUGUUGGUGGGGUAGUGGCUUACCAAGGGUUUGACGGGUAGCCGGCCUGGGAGGGUGAACGGCCACAUGGGUACUAAGAGACGGCCCAGACUCCUACGGGAGGCAGCAGGGGGGAAUAUGGCACAAUGGGCGGAAGCCUGAUGCAGCAGCGUCGCGUGCGUGAUAACGGCCUUCUGGUUGUAAACCGCUGUCGCCUGAGACGAAGCGUGAGUGACGGUAAUGGGUAAAGAAGCACCGGCUAACUACGUG